UGAGUUGUGGUUCAGUAUAGAACACUUGCCUAGCAUGUGAGAGGCCCUGGGUUCAAUUCUCAGCACCACAU
rnacentral:tRNA from 1 species